ACGUAGGGGGCGAGCGUUAUCCGGAUUUAUUGGGCGUAAAGCGUGUGUAGGCGGUUUAUUAAGUCUAAAAUCAAAGCCUGGGGCUUAACCCCAGUUCGUUUUAGAAACUGGUAGACUUGAGUGUGGUAGAGGCAAAUGGAAUUUCUAGUGUAGCGGUUAAAUGCGUAGAUAUUAGAAGGAACACCAGUGGCGAAGGCGGUUUGCUGGGCCAUUACUGACGCUGAGACACGAAAGCGUGGGGAGCAAAUAG
rnacentral:rRNA from 1 species